CAACUGUGGUAAAUGAUCGCGGCUUGCCGGAGUAUUCCGGCAAGGUGAGGAAAGUCCGGGCUUCGCAGGGCAGGAUGCCGGAUAACGUCCGGUGGAGGUGACUCCAAGGAUAGUGCAACAGAAAUAUACCGCCUCUGUCCGAAAGGGCGGAGGUAAGGGUGGAAGGGUGGUGUAAGGGACCACCGCCUCCGCGGUAACGCGGAGGGCAUAUGUAAACCCCAUCCGAAGCAAGACCAAACAGGGAACCAUAGACUUGCCCGGUCUGUUCCCAGGUAGGUCGCUUGAGGCUGACGGCGACGUCAGUCCUAGAUAGAUGAUCAUUCGUGCCGCUGUGAGAGCAGCGGCGCUGACAUAACCCGGCUUAUCGCCGCGGUUGCCGA
rnacentral:RNase_P_RNA from 1 species